AUCCAGCUGACGAAUCCUAAAUAGAACGAACUGUGCGUCCUAGAU
rnacentral:hammerhead_ribozyme from 1 species